AAAGGGAUGCUGGAAUUUUGUUGUUGUGAAGACAGCCAGCCUCUAUUGUUGAACAGGAGGGGACUCCCAAGGUCUGACAACAUUUAUGUGACUCAAAGUUAUAUAUACUAAACCCUUUUCCUGGGCUUGAUUGGUACCUAAUGCAUUUUGCUUCUCGUUUUUGCCAAUUUUUCUUUGGACAUAUUUAUGAAUGAAACCAGAUUUUCUGGAAUUAUUGUAAAGAGCUCACUAUUACAAAAAUAUAACAUCUGUUUAUCACAUGAAAAUUGCA